rnacentral:rRNA from 1 species
UACGAAGGGGGCUAGCGUUGUUCGGAAUCACUGGGCGUAAAGGGCGCGUAGGCGGCCGAUCAAGUCGGGGGUGAAAGCCUGUGGCUCAACCACAGAAUUGCCUUCGAUACUGUUUGGCUUGAGACCGGAAGAGGUUAGUGGAACUGCGAGUGUAGAGGUGAAAUUCGUAGAUAUUCGCAAGAACACCGGUGGCGAAGGCGGCUGACUGGUCCGGUUCUGACGCUGAGGCGCGAAAGCGUGGGGAGCAAACAGG